UAGUUAAAACCUCAGAUCAGACAUUAGUUUGAGCGCUGAGAAGAAUACCACUUGUUUGAUACUCCCAUAUCUGAGUAGAAUAAGGGCAUUCAAAAAAUAAAUGGUUUCUAGUCUCAGGAGCAUUUUUACAGAGCACACAAACCUCAUCAGCACCCUGUCUCCACUUAGAGACUCUAUCCAUAGUAGCCAAUCUAUCUCUUACUGCAAGCCAUGCCAUAAACACAUAUUUUGGGGCCGCUUGAGAGAACCAAACGGCUUUAGACCACCUGCAACUCUACCCAGGGUUCUCAAUUGUGACCAGGUUUCAUGAGUCGAGAAUUCCUUUUUAUAUCCUGAUCUUCUUCUCCACAAACUACCAUCUUCCACUCCUACGCUCAACUUCUCCAUUGCCAGCACUAACUGAGCUUCAACUUCAUUCAGCAACUGAGAUCGAUGACUCCUCCUUCUUCGAACACACAUAACCGCCUCCUCCACUGUGGCCUCUCUACUGACCCCCAUGCUCACAAUGCCACGCUCACACAAUAGAGAGAAUAUAACGCCCCUUUCACACCAUUUAUCAAACUAGAACGAGAUAUGCCUUCCAUUACCCAAGUCCCUCAUAUGAAACCUCCUUGCUACAUCUCUCAUUUUCAGCGUUUUCCUCCACAUCCAAGACCACACUUGCGUUUUCUCACUUAUCUCCCAAAAACACUUCCUUUUCAGCAGAUUCGCUUCAAUCCAUUUCCCCCACAGAG
rnacentral:lncRNA from 1 species